rnacentral:rRNA from 1 species
CCUACGGGGGGCUGCAGUGGGGAAUAUUGCACAAUGGGGGAAACCCUGAUGCAGCGACGCCGCGUGAGUGAAGAAGUAAUUCGUUACGUAAAGCCCUAUCGGCAGGGAAGAAGCAAGACGGUACCUGACUAAGAAGCCCCGGCUAACUACGUGCCAGCAGCCGCGGUAAUACGUAGGGGGCGAGCGUUAUCCGGAUUCACUGGGUGUAAAGGGAGCGUAGACGGCCAUGCAAGCCAGGGGUGAAAGCCCGGGGCCCAACCCCGGGACUGCCCUUGGAACUGUGCGGCUAGAGUGCGGGAGGGGCAGGCGGAAUUCCUGGUGUAGCGGUGAAAUGCGUAGAUAUCAGGAGGAACACCGGCGGCGAAGGCGGCCUGCUGGACCGCGACUGACGUUGAGGCUCGAAAGCGUGGGGAGCGAACAGGAUUAGAUACCCGAGUAGUC